AAGGGAGACCUAAUUCAGGUAGGCGACGAAAAAAAAGUAGUCCCAACCAAGAAUCAAUCCCAAAAGGUCGGAGCGAGGCAAGAUUGGCUUUCAAACUAGGUUCUGGGUUCACACAAGACCUGAAUCAGGAACAAGGGCUAUUAGCUCAGGUGGUUAGAGCGCACCCCUGAUAAGGGUGAGGUCCCUGGUUCGAGUCCAGGAUGGCCCACCUGCACAGGUGGAAGAAAGAAAAGAAGCUCCGAAUCAGCACCUUAUCUUACUUAUAUAGUAAGAGAGAAUGCUGGCUCUGAGUUCAGAGUCCAGAGGAACCUUGAAAACUGCAUAGAGCUAGGUGAAAAAGCCAAAAAAGAAGACCGCAA
rnacentral:tRNA from 1 species